rnacentral:rRNA from 1 species
UACGUAGGGUGCAAGCGUUAAUCGGAAUUACUGGGCGUAAAGGGUGCGCAGGCGGCAGAGCAAGUCGAGUGUGAAAGCCCCGAGCUUAACUUGGGAAUUGCGCUCGAAACUACUUUGCUGGAGUGUGGCAGAGGAAGGUGGAAUUCCAGGUGUAGCGGUGAAAUGCGUAGAGAUCUGGAGGAACACCGAUGGCGAAGGCAGCCUUCUGGGCCAACACUGACGCUCAUGCACGAAAGCGUGGGGAGCAAACAGG